AGCUAAAUUGUUCUCAGAGGAUGAAGCUGGAUUGUUCUUAGAGGUGGCAGAUGACAGGACAAGGAACAAUGGGCUCAAUUUGCAGCAAGGGAAGUUUAGGUUGGAUAUUAG